GCCCUUAUAGCUCAGUGGUAGAGCGUUGCACUUGUACUUGCAGAGUGAGAUCUGCAUCACGUAAUGCAAAGGCCCGUCGUUCAAAUCGGCGUGGGGGCA